GUCACAUUUCAACCUCUGAAAUUGGAGUUCAAACGGAAUUAUUGAUGGCGGAUCCUCGUUCAUGGCAUAUCAGUUUGUUUCCACAAGAUGUACAAAACGCAAUUCGCUACUGGGAAUCAAAGAGAAGAGAAUUUUGACCCAUAGGAGAACGUCAAAGCCAAAAUAUAAGAUUGUGAAAGACAAAGAUUUAUCCACAUCCGGACCUGACCAUACGAUUGAUUCUCUUAUAGUUUCAUUAUUAAAUAUUUUACUUUAUGUAAAUUUAUCACA